rnacentral:rRNA from 1 species
ACUCCUACGGGAGGCAGCAGUGGGGAAUCUUAGACAAUGGGCGCAAGCCUGAUCUAGCCAUGCCGCGUGAGUGAUGAAGGCCUUAGGGUCGUAAAGCUCUUUCGCCUGUGAUGAUAAUGACAGUAGCAGGUAAAGAAACCCCGGCUAACUCCGUGCCAGCAGCCGCGGUAAUACGGAGGGGGUUAGGCGUUGUUCGGAAUUACUGGGCGUAAAGCGCACGUAGGCGGAUUGGAAAGUUGGGGGUGAAAUCCCGGGG